GACGAACGCUGGCGGCGUGCUUAACACAUGCAAGUCGAACGGAAAGGCCCUGCUUUUGUGGGGUGCUCGAGUGGCGAACGGGUGAGUAACACGUGAGUAACCUGCCCUUGACUUUGGGAUAACUUCAGGAAACUGGGGCUAAUACCGGAUAGGAGCUCCUGCUGCAUGGUGGGGGUUGGAAAGUUUCGGCGGUGUGGGAUGGGCCCGCGGCCUAUCAGCUUGUUGGUGGGGUAAUGGCCUACCAAGGCGGCGACGGGUAGCCGGCCUGAGAGGGUGGACGGCCACAUUGGGACUGAGACACGGCCCAGACUCCUACGGGAGGCAGCAGUGGGGAAUAUUGCACAAUGGGCGGAAGCCUGAUGCAGCGACGCCGCGUGGGGGAUGACGGCCUUCGGGUUGUAAACUCCUUUCACCAUCGACGAAGGGUUUCUGACGGUAGAUGGAGAAGAAGCACCGGCUAACUACGUGCCAGCAGCCGCGGUAAUACGUAGGGUGCGAGCGUUGUCCGGAAUUACUGGGCGUAAAGAGCUCGUAGGUGGUUUGUCGCGUCGUCUGUGAAAUUCCGGGGCUUAGCUCCGGGCGUGCAGGCGAUACGGGCAUAACUUGAGUACUGUAGGGGAGACUGGAAUUCCUGGUGUAGCGGUGAAAUGCGCAGAUAUCAGGAGGAACACCGGUGGCGAAGGCGGGUCUCUGGGCAGUAACUGACGCUGAGGAGCGAAAGCAUGGGGAGCGAACAGGAUUAGAUACCCUGGUAGUCCAUGCCGUAAACGGUGGGCGCUAGGUGUGGGUUUCCUUCCACGGGAUCCGUGCCGUAGCUAACGCAUUAAGCGCCCCGCCUGGGGAGUACGGCCGCAAGGCUAAAACUCAAAGGAAUUGACGGGGGCCCGCACAAGCGGCGGAGCAUGUGGAUUAAUUCGAUGCAACGCGAAGAACCUUACCUGGGCUUGACAUAUACAGGAUCGCGCCAGAGAUGGUGUUUCCCUUGUGGCUUGUAUACAGGUGGUGCAUGGUUGUCGUCAGCUCGUGUCAUGAGAUGUUGGGUUAAGUCCCGCAACGAGCGCAACCCUUGUCUUAUGUUGCCAGCACGUUGUGGUGGGGACUCGUAAGAAACUGCCGGGGUUAACUCGGAGGAAGGUGGGGAUGACGUCAAAUCAUCAUGCCCCUUAUGUCCAGGGCUUCACACAUGCUACAAUGGUCGGUACAGUGGGUUGCCAGUCCGUGAGGGCGAGCUAAUCCCGCAAAGCCGGUCUCAGUUCGGAUCGGGGUCUGCAACUCGACCCCGUGAAGUCGGAGUCGCUAGUAAUCGCAGAUCAGCAACGCUGCGGUGAAUACGUUCCCGGGCCU
rnacentral:rRNA from 1 species